GAGUUUGAUCUUGGCUCAGAUUGAACGCUGGCGGCAGGCCUAACACAUGCAAGUCGAGCGGUAGAGAGAAGCUUGCUUCUCUUGAGAGCGGCGGACGGGUGAGUAAUGCCUAGGAAUCUGCCUGGUAGUGGGGGAUAACGCUCGGAAACGGACGCUAAUACCGCAUACGUCCUACGGGAGAAAGCAGGGGACCUUCGGGCCUUGCGCUAUCAGAUGAGCCUAGGUCGGAUUAGCUAGUUGGUGAGGUAAUGGCUCACCAAGGCGACGAUCCGUAACUGGUCUGAGAGGAUGAUCAGUCACACUGGAACUGAGACACGGUCCAGACUCCUACGGGAGGCAGCAGUGGGGAAUAUUGGACAAUGGGCGAAAGCCUGAUCCAGCCAUGCCGCGUGUGUGAAGAAGGUCUUCGGAUUGUAAAGCACUUUAAGUUGGGAGGAAGGGCAGUAAAUUAAUACUUUGCUGUUUUGACGUUACCGACAGAAUAAGCACCGGCUAACUCUGUGCCAGCA
rnacentral:rRNA from 1 species